CCGGGGGGGGGGCGCAGCGGGGCGGUGUCCCAGCCUUUCCCACCGGCAAUCAGCUCUGCGCAGGCCACGCGAUCUUCAGUGACACUAACCAGCCGCUGCCCGCUCCGGAGUCAGAAGGGAACAGACUCGCAGGCUAUAGAGUAUGGGGUAACGUCAUACACCUGCUUUGGCAGUGGCUUCUCCCCGGACACCUGCGGUGACCUCCCGGGUUUUUAAAGGACAAGGGCCUCAUGCAAGAAUGCAGCACUUUGAAGCCAGGGGAUGGUAAUUAAAAUGCAAAGCAGGACUGCUGAAAUGACCAAGAGCCUCCAAGGGAUGCGACGUUCUCCCUGCAGAUAAUCAAGGUUUCACUGGUUUGGCAGAAUGCUAAAUAGAACCCAGGGACGGGAAGACAACAGCAGAGCAAAGAGCCAAGAGCACGGCCCAGCGACAGAUGCUGCCCAAGCACUCCCCACGCGGAGACACUCUGGAGUGGGCGGUGGGGGCAGAGCAGAAA